AUUGAACGCUGGCGGCAGGCCUAACACAUGCAAGUCGAGCGAGUGGCGGACGGGUGAGUAAUAUCUGGGGAUCUGCCCGCUAGAGGGGGAUAACUACUGGAAACGGUGGCUAAUACCGCAUACUAUCGGAUGAACCCAUAUGGGAUUAGCUAGUAGGUUGGGUAAAGGCUCACCUAGGCGACGAUCUCUAGCUGGUCUGAGAGGAUGACCAGCCACACUGGGACUGCGAACCGGUCCAGACUCCUACGGGAGGCAGCAGGGGGGAAUAUUGCACAAUGGGCGCAAUCCUGAUUCAGCCAUGCCGCGUGUAUGAAGAAGGCCUUAGGGUUGUAAAGUACUUUCAGCGGGGAGGCGUUACCCGCAGAAGAAGCACCGGCUAACUCCGUGCCAGCAGCCGCGGUAAGAC
rnacentral:rRNA from 1 species